rnacentral:rRNA from 1 species
AUUGAACGCUGGCGGCAUGCUUUACACAUGCAAGUCGAACGGUAACAGGGUGCUUGCACCGCUGACGAGUGGCGAACGGGUGAGUAAUACAUCGGAAUGUACCCAGUAAUGGGGGAUAACGCUUCGAAAGGAGUGCUAAUACCGCAUACGCCCUGAGGGGGAAAGUGGGGGACCGCAAGGCCUCACGUUAUUGGAGCAGCCGGUGGCUGAUUAGCUAGUUGGUGAGGUAAAGGCUCACCAAGGCGACGAUCAGUAGCGGGUCUUAGAGGACGAUCCGCCAGACUGGAACUGAGACGCGGUCCAGACUCCUACGGGAGGCAGCAGUGGGGAAUCUUGGACAAUAGGCGAAAGCCUGAUCCAGCAAUGCCGCGUGCGUGAAGAAGGCCUUCGGGUUGUAAAGCGCUUUUGUCUGGGGGCAAAUCCUGGCCUCUAAUACAGGUCGGGGAUGAGAGUACCAGAAGAAUAAGGACCGGCUAACUACGUGCCAGCAGCCGCAGUAACAC